CGCGAAACCCGCGUGAGUGUCACAUUCGUUUUAGCGCCGCCCAGAGGAUCCGCUCCGCCUCCGGGCAGCGCCAUGAAUUCGACUGUCCGACACUGGACCCGUUUCGGAUCCGCAGAAGUGUACGUGCCUUUACUUUAACGGUUGAAGUUGCUACACCAAGAGCCGAGACAGUCGUCAGUGGAGAUUUUCUUUCCUGGAACACGGUUGCGCUGAACUAUUUGAGAUGCCUUUUCUUCUGAUUGAGUUUCAAGAAAGCAAGGACAUUGCUGUUGUGCCAGGUGACUGGUAUGAUGACGGGAUGGUGUACUGGCCCAACUUUGAACGUGUCAAACGGGCAGCUGCUAACGAGGAAAAGCAUGAGCCAAACUGGCCAAGAUUUGACGUAAAGGUCGUCAGAACUUGUGACAACUACAAAGACACCAUCAGGCUAAUGGACCAAUAUGAGACCGGCUGCAACACCUCUGAGCUACAGUCUGAGGCAGAGCAGGAGUGGGAGCUGCCAGAGAAACGAGUCAGGAAGCCAGUCCAUCGUUUUGGGGACUGAUGAGAGUGACGAAGAGCCCGAAAAUGGUGACUUAGCUUCUCUGAGGUCGCCACGACCUUCCAACUUGGCUGGUGUAUCAGUUGGAGCCUCAAGCCCAACUGGCAGACUCCACUAUCUCGCCGAGUGCCAGGCAGCAGAGUCACUACUCCUCAACCUGGAGGAAACUGUCUAGGGGUUAUCAUGUGGUACCAGGCUGGGCUGGAGGAGGUGGAGACUCUCAUUUCAGAGGUCCUUAAACAUGCACCAGCCCACUACCAACAGAAGCAUAUACAGCGAGUCCAGGAGAAUAAAGUUGCGCAGCCAGCAGAUGAUGAUUGUUCCCAGACAGAGAGGAAGAGUGACUGAUAAAUACUAAUCAUAUUUCAUAUCAGCCAAAAAUGUAUCAACAUAAUGAAUAAAUCCUUGUCUUGUUAAAGGAUAAAGUCAGAUUACUGUUCGAAAUUAUGAAAUCGUAUACAGCUCUUAGUAAAAAUGAAGAGACCACUCCAGAUUAUCAGACCACUUAUGUAUGUAUAUAUGUGUGUGUAUGUAUAUAUGUGUGUGUAUCUAUGUAUGUGUGUGUA
ensembl:lncRNA